rnacentral:miRNA from 35 species
UGGACGGAGAACUGAUAAGGGU